CUCCUUUGUCUUUAGCUGAGGGUGGUAUUUGAGCCUGGCCAGAAGGACCUAUAGUGGGUAGAGGAAAGUCUUCCUCUCCUACAGUUUGGUGAUGUGGACCGGAUAAAAUUUCACUGGCUUGACACUGCUCACUCCUGGGCUGCUGCAGCCAAGAGAUCCUGAACCCCUAACAAGAGCCAGCAAAAAGUGAGAGUUCUUACCACGUCAGUCUCCUGUAUCUCUGCCUGCAGGGUCCAGUGGAAGCAAGAGUGAGAAAUUCAUGAAAAGCACUCUGGUGCUUGCUCUAGACUACGGGUUUCUGAUAAACUUUCAGAUUAUAAAACUGAACUGGGUAAGAAAUUACAGAAAUCUAACAGAGAAACUGAUGACCUCAUAUCUGCUAACAGAAGAUUAAGAUCAAGAAUCAGUUAUACUAGGGCCAGCCUGGUGGUGCAGCAGUUAAGUUCACACGUUCCACUUCGGUGGCCUGAGGUCCACCAGUUCAGCUCCCGGGUGCGGACAUGGCACUGCUUGGACACAAUUGGAAACGUUGGUUAUCUUACCAAAGCUUUGACUGGAAUGUCAUAUUUGAGAGAGAACAGGCAUAAACUCAGACAUGACCAGACAACUUUUGAGAAACAAGGAUUGGACUUUAUGGAAUAAAGCCACUUGGAAACAUGGGCCUGGUACCUUGUUUACAUAGAUUCCAGAAAUCUUACCUGAAUUGAACCUGCCCUUUUUCCUGAAGCCUUGCAAACUGAAGCUGAACAACUUGAUAUAAACUUGAGAAAUUCCUGUCUGUUGCUGUGUAAGCUGUAAGCCACUCAGAAAGAUACCUGAAUGCCCGAUGACAUCAUCAGAGACAUUUCAAGACGCAAAAGAUGCUUCAACUCUGACAUCUAGAAAUCUUCUUGACUGGCUGCCUCCUGGGCUCAGGAACUGGUUUAUAAUUUGCUCCAACCAUUAACCUUGUUUUUUUAAUUUCCAUAGAAGUACUUAUUAAAUACCUGAUUGCUUGCUUCCACAGUAUAGGCCUAACUUUGGGAGCGCACCUGCAUCACCACCUUCUAAAGUGGAUUUAACUGGACUGAUCUACUUUCAGGACUAAGAAAUGUGUUCAGUGAGAUGAAACAAUCUAUCACUCAGCUUCUGGACUACGAAACGUCUUAAAAUUUCAAAGGCGGGACUGUGGGGGGUUGGAAUUGGCCACCGCAAGAUCUCCCUCUUUGGCAUAAGGAUUAUUUGGGGCUGGUUACUUUUAAAAACUACAGACAUGAGAGAACCUCUGAAAAGUAGGAGUUACCCUUUGUUAAGAGAAAUUUACAUUUGUAAAGGAAAUCUCCCUCUCUGUAAAGGUGUCUCCCUCUCUGUACCAGGAAGAAGAAGGGAUGACCUUAUCUCUAGAAACUCUUGUCAAUGCAGAAGGCAAGUACUUAAAUCUGCAUAAUAACCUGACUCUUGUUUGCUGUGCUUUUCUGGUAAUCUCCCAUAACUGGGUCCUCCCGCCCCCCACACGCUCCUUUGUCUUUAGCUGAGGGUGGUAUUUAAGGUGAGAGCUUCCACCAUUUUGGUGAGUUGCUCAGUUUGCCUGAGUCUCUCCCAUGUAUACGUGUUAUAAAGUCUUGUUUAAUUUUCUCCUCUUAUUCUGUCUCAUGUGAAUUUAAUUUGUAGCCUGGCCAGCAGAAGGACCUAGAGUGGGUAGAGGAAAUUUCUUCCUCGCCUACAUAACAUAACCACUACACCAGUGGGCAGGCCCAUUUCACUUUUUGAUGAGAGGAGAUGCAAAAUAGAGUUUGAGUUUUUUUCCAAUCUACAAUAUACACCAACUUCCACCAAACUAACCCCCCUGCCCUAGGGUUCACUUACAGUUUCAUAACUUAAAAGUUGUAAUUAAAGAUUAAAAUUUUAAUUUUACAUAUUUGUGAGCCAAAUCACAAUAAUCUUUUAUGUGGUGACCCAACAGCAAAGCUUACCGCAGGGGCUCACAUGCCAGGCAGGCCAUCCUAUUCGGUGGGGCACCCACAAGAAAGUUAAGGCUUACAGCCUUCCACAGUAUCCACUAGAAGCACAGAAAAAAAUAGAGAAAAUUGCCCAUCCAUGCCAGGCAGAGGGUUGAUAGAGAAGGAGGCAGGUAAGAUGGAGUGGUUUCUGCCUUGAGGAGAAUACCUAGACCCCGUUAUGGAGGCUUUCUCUGGAAUGUGGAUCCCUGAACACCUCUUUGUGCUCAGCUGCAGGCUCUAGGUAUCAGUUCCAGGACAACAUCUUGUUACGUGAUUAACAUUUACCGCAAGAAAAGCCAAAGCACACUAUCCAUGCAACCAGGUCCUUACCUAGAUUUUUAUAGUCUUACUUGUUAUUGUUGCUUUAUAUGAAAGAAGGAUAGCACCAAUAAGAACCUUUAGGUUAAUAGUCACAGCUGUGUUUGCAAAAGAUCACGUUGUAUUCUUUUUAGAGAAAGGGCAGUACAUCUCUUGUCCUGAUUUAAAGUGACACAUUAAUCACAGCUUCCACCUAACUCUUCACAGGCUGUCCUUGGUAAAUGGAAAGAUCACAACUGGCCCAUUUGUCCAGUUUGCCUUAAUAAGGGACAUACAUCUUUGAAAAGUGGGCAGCACAAGGACGGCCUGACAUGGGCUGUCUUGGCCCCAGGGUAUCUCCUCCCUAAACUUGUGUCUGUUCCAUUGUGUUCUAAGGAACUACGACUGCUUGUUAGAGGCACUGAGAACCAAAGAAAAUGGUAGUGAAGAAGACCACUCAAGGAUUGAGUUUAUGUAGAAUAUAAUGGCAAUAAAAAAAAAAGCAGUAAACCUCUGUUAAAUCAAUUGUUGAUUGGAGUGUAGAAGGAGAAAAGAAAGAAAAGUAAAAUAGAAGAGGGUUUAAUUCCAUUCCAAACAAAUUGGCCUAAGAAUAGAAUUUUCUAUGUGUGAGCCAAGCUUAGAUUAUGACUAGAGUACAGAGGUUCUGACAUGCUGUGUGAGGAUGAUGAUGGUGAUAAUGAUGAUUGUCAUAAUGGAGGUAUGACAUAGAUAUAAUAAAACACAAAAAUCUGGGGCCAGCCCAGCAGCGUAGUGCUUAAGUUUGCGUGCUCUGCUUCGGUGGCCCAGAGUUGGCAGGUUCAGAUCCUGAGCGCAGACCUAUGCACCACUCAUCAGGCCUUGCUGUGGUGGCAUCCCACAUAUAAAAUAGAGGAAAAUUGCCAUAGAUGUUAGCUCAGGGACAGUCUUCCUCAAGCAAGAAAAAAAGAGAUGAAGAUUGGCCACAGAUGUUAGCUCAGGGCCAAUCAUCCUCACUAGAAAAAAAAUCUCAUGAAAAUCUUAAGUUAGAUCUCAAGGUGUUUUCACUUAUGUAAACACCUAUGUGAACCACCACCUGGAUCAAGAUAAAGAACAUUUUUGGUAUCCCAAAAGUUCCCUCAUGCUUCUUUCCAGUCAAUACCUCCACCCCUCCCAACAUACAUACACACACACGCACAAACACACACCCCCACCACCACAGGUAUUCACUAUUCUGACACCGUAGAAUUGCUUUCUCUGCUUUUGAACUUUGUAUAAAUGGAAUCACGCAGAAUGUAUUCUCUUGUGUCUAGCUUCUUUUGCUCAUUAUGUCUCAGAUUCUUCCAUGUUGCAUCUUGUAUCUAUAGUUUAUUCCUUUUUAUUGGUGUUUAGUGUGUCAUUGUAUGAAUAUGUCAAAAUUUAUUUAUCUGAUCUACUGUGAUAGUAAAAUUUCGCAUUUUUUAAAAAAUGUGCACGUGAAAUUUCUUGAAAGCCGGUCCUACCCCCACACUACUUUUUGGCGUAUUCCCUAUUACUCAUACAGUGUCGUAUCCUGAGUAUUGACUACUUGUGUUAAUGGGUUCUUCUGUGAAAAUAAAGGUUAUUCUGUGUCAUACUAAAGUGAAUUCCU
ensembl:lncRNA